UGAUAAAUCUGCUAGUGCUUCGG
rnacentral:piRNA from 1 species